rnacentral:rRNA from 1 species
GACGAACGCUGGCGGCGUGCCUAAUACAUGCAAGUAGAACGCACAGUUUAUACCGUAGCUUGCUACACCAUAAACUGUGAGUUGCGAACGGGUGAGUAACGCGUAGGUAACCUGCCUGGUAGCGGGGGAUAGCUAUUGGAAACGAUAGCUAAUACCGCAUAAUAUUGAUUAUUGCAUGAUAAUUGAUUGAAAGAUGCUAUUGCAUCACUACCAGAUGGACCUGCGUUGUAUUAGCUAGUAGGUGAGGUAACGGCUCACCUAGGCGACGAUACAUAGCCGACCUGAGAGGGUGAGCGGCCACACUGGGACUGAGACACGGCCCAGACUCCUACGGGAGGCAGCAGUAGGGAAUCUUCGGCAAUGGACGAAAGUCUGACCGAGCAACGCCGCGUGAGUGAAGAAGGUUGUCGGAUCGUAAAGCUCUGUUGUAAGAGAAGAACGGGUGUGAGAGUGGAAAGUUCACACUGUGACGGUAUCUUACCAGAAAGGGACGGCUAACUACGUG